UACGGGGGGAGCAAGCGUUGUUCGGAUUUACUGGGCGUAAAGGGCGCGUAGGCGGCCUCCGCAAGUCGACUGUGAAAUCUCCGGGCUUAACCCGGAAAGGUCAGCCGAAACUGCGGGGCUAGAGUGCAGAAGGGGCAACUGGAAUUCCUGGUGUAGCGGUGAAAUGCGCAGAUAUCAGGAGGAACACCCGUGGCGAAAGCGGCUCUCUGGACCGGAACUGACGCUGAGGCGCGAAAGCUAGGGGAGCAAACAGG
rnacentral:rRNA from 1 species